GAAUUUUCGUGCCAAAUUAGAGACAUGUUGUAAAUAUCUACUUUUUCUUUAUAAUUGGCAAUUACAUAUAAUUACUAUAGUAUUUUUCCAGUUUCUUGUUUGCAACUGUUAGUUUUCUUCUUUAGUUUGAGAACUGUAGUUGUUGUUGGGUUCCAAUGGUCUAGUCACUUACUGCUUGAAAGCUGAUAGCUUUUUUUGAUAAGCCAAGUAAGGAGUUUUAUUUAUGUAACAGAAAACACACUGAAGUACUAGAGCUGAGCCAGAAUACACCAAGGGGGAACAAAAAAAACAACCACCUUGAAAAAUAAGAGCAUACAGGUAGAGAAAAGUCAAGCAAGGCUGCCAGAAAAACUCCUAGCUGCCAUACUGAACCGUGAAGAAAGAGAAUGGAAAAAGAAACCAGAACGCAGCUCUUAUAACAACAUGAAAGACGAAAGAGCCCAAACAGAAGGGGAAACCAGCAUAUGAAAUCCCAAACUACUGGUUUAAACAGUGAGAUAACGUUCCCUUUUUUUUCUUGACUUUCUUCCAUCUUUUGAGAUCUUCUUGUUCCAUGGGAUGAAGAGGGAGCAAUCAGAAGACUAUGAACAAGGAUUUUGAACGAUCACAACAUUCUUCCCUUUUGUUUAAAGGUGAACCUUUCAAUUUUUUGCUGGUCUCAAAAGGGAUCAAAUCUAAAAUGAGAAUAGUCAAGACUCAAGACUUUCAUCACUUUGACUCAUUAGCAGGUAAAUCCACUUUAGAAUAAUGGCCCGAGAGGAAGAGGGAACGCUGUGGAUUUCUUGGCUAAUAAAUGCAUUCAUCCCAUCUGAAUAGUCUUCACCAUCAAUAAACUUGUUGAUCCUAUUAUUUUCAAAUCCAACGGCCUGGAUUUGAACUUGCUUGAGAAUUGUAUACUUGAAAGUAUUUGCCUAUUGCCAUACACCGCAGGAUUGUAUAGCUGGUCCUUCAUCAACUUUGGCAGCUUCUUCCUCCUUUU
rnacentral:misc_RNA from 1 species